rnacentral:rRNA from 1 species
UACGGAGGGUGCAAGCGUUAUCCGGAUUCACUGGGUUUAAAGGGUGCGUAGGUGGGCAGGUAGGUCAGUGGUGAAAUCUCUGGGCUUAACUCAGAAACUGCCAUUGAUACUAUCUGUCUUGAAUACCGUGGAGGUCAGCGGAAUAUGUCAUGUAGCGGUGAAAAUGCUUAGAUAUGACAUAGAACACCAAUUGCGAAGGCAGCUUACUACACAGUCAUUGACACUGAGGCACGAAAGCGUGGGGAUCAAACAGG